UCCAGCUUGCUGGAUGCUGACGAGCGGCGGACGGGUGAGUAAUGCAUAGGAAUCUGCCCGAUAGUGGGGGAUAACCUGGGGAAACCCAGGCUAAUACCGCAUACGUCCUACGGGAGAAAGGGGGCUCCGGCUCCCGCUAUGGGAUGAGCCUAUGUCGGAUUAGCUAGUUGGUGAGGUAACGGCUCACCAAGGCCACGAUCCGUAGCUGGUCUGAGAGGAUGAUCAGCCACAUCGGGACUGAGACACGGCCCGAACUCCUACGGGAGGCAGCAGUGGGGAAUAUUGGACAAUGGGGGAAACCCUGAUCCAGCCAUGCCGCGUGUGUGAAGAAGGCCCUCGGGUUGUAAAGCACUUUCAGCGAGGAAGAACGCCUAGCGGUUAAUACCCGCUAGGAAAGACAUCACUCGCAGAAGAGGCACCGGCUAACUCCGUGCCAGCAGCCGCGGUAAUACGGAGGGUGCAAGCGUUAAUCGGAAUUACUGGGGCGUAAAGGCGCGCGUAGGUGGCUUGAUAAGCCCGGUUGUGAAAGCCCCGGGCUCAACCUGGGGAACGGCAUCCGGAUCUGUCAAGCUAGGAGUGCAGGAGAGGAAGGGUAGAAUUCCCGGG
rnacentral:rRNA from 1 species